AAUCACGAGUUCCGUUACGAUCACCGAAGUUAAGCAACGUUGAACCAGUUCAGUACCAAGAUGGGUGACCGCUUGGGAAUGCCAGGUGCUA